CAACUUCACAAAAGUCAUGUUGGGAUUGUUUUUCACUUCAACCACCGUUAGCAUCGAGUCUAUCUCACUAACGUGUGCGUUUUCACCCUACCACCGUUAGCAUCGAGUCUAUCUCACUAACGUGUGCGUUUUCACCAUACCACCGUUAGCAUCGAGUCUAUCUCACUAAUGUGUGCGUUUCUAUUCCACCACCGUUAGCAUCGAGUUUAUCUCACUAACGUGUGUGUUUUAUUCAAUAAUCUCGGCAGGACCGGGUUUAAUCCCGCUGACCGUUUAUCUCACAUUGGGACCGGGUUUUAUCCCGCCAAUCUCGGCAGGACCGGGUAUAAUCCCGCUGACUGUUUUUUUUGGGAUCGGGUUUUAUCCCGCCAAUCUCGGCAGGACCGGGUUUUAUCCCGCUGACCGUCCAUACCCCGUCAGGCUCAGAUGUCGUCUCACUGACCAAUUCAUCAUGCUGGGGCAAAUCAAUUUUUUGGAAAA
rnacentral:lncRNA from 1 species